UACGUAGGUGGCAAGCGUUGUCCGGAUUUACUGGGUGUAAAGGGCGUGUAGCCGGGCUGACAAGUCAGAUGUGAAAUCCGGGGGCUCAACCCCUGAACUGCAUUUGAAACUGUUGGUCUUGAGUAUCGGAGAGGCAGGCGGAAUUCCUAGUGUAGCGGUGAAAUGCAUAGAUAUCACGCAGAACUCCGAUUGCGAAGGCAGCUUACUAAGCCAUAACUGACACUGAAGCACGAAAGCGUGGGGAUCAAACAGG
rnacentral:rRNA from 1 species